GCAGGCUUAACACAUGCAAGUCGAGCGGGCGUAGCAAUACGUCAGCGGCAGACGGGUGAGUAACGCGUGGGAACGUACCUUUUGGUUCGGAACAACACAGGGAAACUUGUGCUAAUACCGGAUAAGCCCUUACGGGGAAAGAUUUAUCGCCGAAAGAUCGGCCCGCGUCUGAUUAGCUAGUUGGUGAGGUAACGGCUCACCAAGGCGACGAUCAGUAGCUGGUCUGAGAGGAUGAUCAGCCACAUUGGGACUGAGACACGGCCCAAACUCCUACGGGAGGCAGCAGUGGGGAAUAUUGGACAAUGGGCGCAAGCCUGAUCCAGCCAUGCCGCGUGAGUGAUGAAGGCCCUAGGGUUGUAAAGCUCUUUUGUGCGGGAAGAUAAUGACGGUACCNCAAGAAUA
rnacentral:rRNA from 1 species